rnacentral:rRNA from 1 species
UACGGGGGGAGCAAGCGUUGUUCGGAUUUACUGGCGUAAAGGGCGCGUAGGCGGUCAGCACAAGUCAGUUGUGAAAUCUCCGGGCUUAACUCGGAAAGGUCAACUGAUACUGUGCGACUAGAGUGCAGAAGGGGCAACUGGAAUUCUCGGUGUAGCGGUGAAAUGCGUAGAUAUCGAGAGGAACACCUGCGGCGAAGGCGGGUUGCUGGGCUGACACUGACGCUGAUGCGCGAAAGCCAGGGAGCGAACGG